rnacentral:miRNA from 1 species
CGCGCCAGGGAGAGCCCGGGAU